rnacentral:rRNA from 1 species
AAACAUAGCCGGUAGUUAUUACAUUAUCGGUGUGACCUGCCCGGUGAAUUUUUAACGGCCGCAGUACUGUGACUGUGCAAAGGUAGCAUAAUCAUUUGACUUUUAAUUGAAGUCUGGUAUGAAAGGAUAAACGUAUAUAAACUGUAUCUAGAUUUAAAUUUGUUUAAGUUAUUUAUAGGGUGAAAAUACCCUAAAUAAUAAAAAUAGACGAGAAGACCCUUAGAAUUUUAAGAAUAAGUAUAAAAUAAAUAUAAAAUGAUUUUUGUUGGGGCAACAUUUUUUCAUAUAAUAAAAAUUUUUAUAUUACAAUAUAACGAAAAAUUUAAUAAAGAAAAAAUUACCUUAGGGAUAACAGCAUAAUUUUAAGUAAAGAUUGUGACCUCGAUGUUGGAUUAGGAAUUAUUAAGGCUAGUUGUUUUAAUAUAAUAUGUUCUGUUCGAACUUUAUUUCCUA